GGUGCUAAUACCGGAUAAGAAAGCGGAUCGCAUGAUCAGCUUUUAAAAGGCGGCGUAAGCUGUCGCUAUGGGAUGGCCCCGCGGUGCAUUAGCUAGUUGGUAAGGUAAAGGCUUACCAAGGCGAUGAUGCAUAGCCGAGUUGAGAGACUGAUCGGCCACAUUGGGACUGAGACACGGCCCAAACUCCUACGGGAGGCAGCAGCG
rnacentral:rRNA from 1 species